rnacentral:rRNA from 1 species
AACGAACGCUGGCGGCAUGCCUAACACAUGCAAGUCGAACGAGACCUUCGGGUCUAGUGGCGCACGGGUGCGUAACGCGUGGGAACCUGCCCUUAGGUUCGGAAUAACUCACCGAAAGGGGUGCUAAUACCGGAUAAUGUCUUCGCACCAAAGAUUUAUCGCCUUUGGAUGGGCCCGCGUUGGAUUGGCUAGUUGGUAGGGUACAAGCCUACCAAGGCGACGAUCCAUAGCUGGUCUGAGAGGCUGAUCAGCCACACUGGGACUGAGACACGGCCCAGACUCCUACGGGAGGCAGCAGUGGGGAAUAUUGGACAAUGGGCGAAAGCCUGAUCCAGCAAUGCCGCGUGAGUGAUGAAGGCCGUAGGGUUGUAAAGCUCUUUUACCCGGGAUGAUAAUGACAGUACCGGGAGAAUAAGCUCCGGCUAACUCCGUG